UACAGAGGGUGCGAGCGUUGUUCGGAAUUAUUGGGCGUAAAGCGCGUGUAGGCGGCUCUGCAAGUUGGGUGUGAAAGCCCUCGGCUUAACCGAGGAAGUGCGCCCAAAACUACAAGGCUUGAGUACCGGAGAGGAUGGCGGAAUUCCCGGUGUAGAGGUGAAAUUCGUAGAUAUCGGGAGGAACACCAGCGGCGAAGGCGGCCAUCUGGACGGAUACUGACGCUGAGACGCGAAAGCGUGGGGAGCAAACAGGAUUAGAAACCCUUGUAGU
rnacentral:rRNA from 1 species